GGCCUGAGGGAGGGACGCAUAUGAACUUCUGGGUUGUGACGUCCUGCUGGCUGGUCAGGGACCUGAAAAGAGCAAGAGGGGAAGAUGGACCUACAGGAGUGGCCACACAAUAUGUGCAUCUCUCUGCCUUGUGUUAAUACUGCAGAGGAGUUGGUGAACAGCAGGAUGGAUGGGAUGUCAGUCAGCCGUGCCCCUGGCUACCCCUGUGCUUGAACAGUGGACUGUGAGUGGCGGCGUCAUGCAGAAGGAGCACAGGGUCCCAGGCCAGCAUCACUAUCCAGGAGCUUCAGGCAUGCUCCGUGUACCAACAUGGGAUCACGAAUCACAUCGCCUCAGGCCAAGAAAGCCAUUUUAUAGCGAAAGAGCCUUAGGAUCUGCUGGAUUAGAGCCUGUUUCCCAGGUAGGAACGCUUCCACGAGGGCACUCCUGCUGGUUGCAGGAAGGAUACCUCUGCUGAGCCUGAAUCUGCAAAGACCACCAGGUUACUCUCAGCUCCUCAUACUGGUGGACCAGCAGGCCACAAAGGAGGGGAUACUUGAUCCUGAUAAACGGUGAGGAGGUAGCGUGGCUGCUGCGUAACGGGGCAAGCAGGCAUUGAUCUGGCACUUAGAGGAUUCAUCUAGGUCUGUCUUGGUGCUUCCAUGCCAAGUAAUGACAAUGAAAAGGUCUUUUCAGCAGCCAUAGCCCCUAAGGGCUCAGAUGCCUCAGGGUGAAGGUCUGGGCGGCGUCACCAGGCAAGCCAUGGAGACAAGCUGGAAUGCUGGUGAGGGUGAGGCCAAGGAGGAGGUGGCUGCUGAAUAUCUGUUACUUGGGAGAAGCUGUAGCAGUGGGGAUUGUAUUUGUUCUGCUAAGCCUCUUGUAUUAAGGCUUUCAUAGGAGUUGUAACUAGCCUUUACUUUGAAGAAUUGUGACAGAGUAGACUCAAUAUUGUAGCUGACUAGCUCUGAGGGGGGCAGGAGAUGGUGUCUUGGCUGAUGCCCUCAGCCCACCUUUAACUGCAGUGGACACAGAGCUGCAUCUCUGCUGUGUGUCUUUGCACUUCCUGCUCCAGGCCUUCUCUGACACCAUGGCGGCCCCCUGAGCCUGUGCCGAGAUUGUGCCACUGCACUCCAGCCUGAGUAACAGAGCUAAACUCCAUCUCAAAAAAAAAAAAAAAAAAAAAAAAAAAAAAAAAAAGGCGAGGGGAAUACAUACAGGAAUGGACUGUGAGGAUACAAAGCCAAGAAUGAAUUGUAGGUUAGUGCAAAUUUAUCAACAUGAGUGCACUUCAAAGAGAAUCUUUGAUUCCGUAUUUUGGCUCAAGGCCUGGGAGUAGUUAUGACCGUGCCUGGGUGGCUGAAUGAAGCCUGGACUCCUUGGUGGUUUACAUUGAUGGGAAGAUGAGAAUGUGGAGUGGAUUUGUGAUGUAUGUGACAUGACCUGGCUGCCACUGUCCUCUCUCUAUCCCUUCAUUAGACCGUUGUGUAAUUUAAAAAAAUAGGUUAUAAAUUUCUUUUCAAGGUAGUAAAGGGGUACAAUCAACAACCCAUGGAACGGGAG
rnacentral:lncRNA from 1 species